rnacentral:rRNA from 1 species
GACGAACGCUGGCGGCGUGCCUAAUACAUGCAAGUAGAGCGCUGAAGAGAGGAGCUUGCUCUUCUUGGAUGAGUUGCGAACGGGUGAGUAACGCGUAGGUAACCUGCCUUGUAGCGGGGGAUAACUAUUGGAAACGAUAGCUAAUACCGCAUAACAAUGGAUGACACAUGUCAUUUAUUUGAAAGGGGCAAUUGCUCCACUACAAGAUGGACCUGCGUUGUAUUAGCUAGUAGGUGAGGUAAUGGCUCACCUAGGCGACGAUACAUAGCCGACCUGAGAGGGUGAUCGGCCACACUGGGACUGAGACACGGCCCAGACUCCUACGGGAGGCAGCAGUAGGGAAUCUUCGGCAAUGGGGGCAACCCUGACCGAGCAACGCCGCGUGAGUGAAGAAGGGUUUCGGAUCGUAAAGCUCUGUUGUAAGUCAAGAACGGGUGUGAGAGUGGAAAGUUCACACUGUGACGGUAGCUUACCAGAAAGGGACGGCUAACUACGUG